rnacentral:ncRNA from 24 species
UUCUUAUCAAGAGAGGUGGAGGGACUGGCCCUGUGAAACCCAGCAACCUAUGGUAUAAGUAUUUUUUAUGUCAUAACGGUGCUAAAUCCUGCAGGUUUACUGAUAGAUAAGUA